AUUGAACGCUGGCGGCAGGCCUAACACAUGCAAGUCUAGCGGAGCGGCUGCCGGGUGCGUAAUGCCUAUGAAUCUGCCUGGUAGUGUGGGAUAACGUCCGUAACCGGGCGCUAAUACCGCAUCCUCUCAGAUGCGCCUAGGUCCGAUUAGCUAGUUGGUGGGGUAAAGGCAUACCAAGGCGACGAUCCGUAACUGGUCUGAGAGGAUGAUCAGUCAAACGGGAAAUGAGACAAGGUCCAGACUCCUACGGGAGGCAGCAGUGGGGAAUAUGGGACAAUGGGAGAAAGCCUGAUGCAGCCAGGCCGAGUGUGUGAAGAAGGUCGGCGGAUUGUAAAGCACUGUAAGUUGGGAGGCGUUACCAACAGAAGAAGCACCGGCUAACUUCGGGCCAGCAGCCGCGGUAAUAC
rnacentral:rRNA from 1 species